AAAGCAUUUUCUUUUCCUGCCAUUUAUUUCUUUAGUUUAAAAUAAUAAUGUAUAUUUUUAUUUAAUAAGGUGUAAUCCUUCUGGAGCCAGAAGAACUUUAAGCCAAGUCAAAAUAAAACACAAACAUUCUGCAAAAAGGUAAUAUUUGAUUACACAAUUACUGAACUAUUAUUAUAUCAGGAUUUAGUAUAUUCAUUCUGUCAUGUAGCUAAUAGAAAGAAGACAGAAGCCCGUCUAACUGGCGGGGGCCCACCACCACCUCCCCUCACCCCAUCUGAUCAGUGGUUGCUGGCAUUCCAGGGGGCAGUUCCUUGCACAAACCAUGCACCACAAGUGAUGGUGAAAAAAUGGUGAAAUAUAAUGUAUACUUGAAUAUUUCUCCUGGACGAUGAAGAGACCACAUCUGCGGUGACAGAAGUGGACAAUGCUAGUAAAUCCACUGAGUACAUACCUAGGGAUUUGCCCACAGAUGAGGGUCCUUGAACCUCAGCACACAAUCUAAGCAGGUUGCCAGCAAAGGAGCUGUAUAAGGUCCAUCUUCAAAGACAAAUAAGAAAAAGUGACAUGUGACAUGGAGAUGGACCUUA